rnacentral:siRNA from 1 species
CUUCGAGUGCUUCGCGUCUCUU